rnacentral:rRNA from 1 species
GAGCGAGAAUCAGUCCUUCGGGACUGAGGACAGCGGCGAACGGGUGAGUAACACGUGGGUAAUCUGCCCUCGAUUCUGGGAUAGCCCGGGGAAACCCGGAUUAAUACCGGAUAGCCUCUCGAGCUUUCGAGCUCGUGAGAAAAGGUAGCUUCGGCCUCCGAUCGAGGAUGAGCCCGCGGCGGAUUAGCUUGUUGGUGGGGUAACGGCCCACCAAGGCCACGAUCCGUAGCUGGUCUGAGAGGACGAUCAGCCACACUGGGACUGAGACACGGCCCAGACUCCUACGGGAGGCAGCAGUGGGGAAUCUUGCGCAAUGGGCGAAAGCCUGACGCAGCGACGCCGCGUGGGGGAAGAAGGCCUUCGGGUUGUAAACCUCUUUCGACAGGGACGAAGCCACUCGGGUGAAUAGCCCAGAGGGUGACGGUACCUGCAGAAGAAGCCCCGGCUAACUACGUGCCAGCAGCCGCGGUAAUACGUAGGGGGCAAGCGUUGUCCGGAUUUAUUGGGCGUAAAGAGCGUGUAGGCGGCCAGACAGGUCCGUUGUGAAAACUGGAGGCUUAACCUUCAGACGUCGAUGGAAACCGUCGGGCUAGAGUCCGGAAGAGGAGAGUGGAAUUCCUGGUGUAGCGGUGAAAUGCGCAGAUAUCAGGAAGAACACCCGUGGCUAAGGCGGCUCUCUAGUACGGUACUGACGCUGAGACGCGAAAGCGUGGGGAGCGAACAGGAUUAGAUACCCUGGUAGUCCACGCCGUAAACGAUGGGUGCUAGGUGUGGGGGGGUGUCGACUCCCUCCGUGCCGAAGCUAACGCAUUAAGC